rnacentral:ncRNA from 1 species
UUUUGUUUAACUAUGGCAAUAAGAAGUAAUGACAUUAAAUCUGCAUAAAAAUUUUAUUUUUUAUGUUAUCAAAGUACUUGUUGAUAAUUAUUAGCAGUUAGUUUUUUAUUUAGGUUUAAGCCUUUUAAGAUGGUGUCAAUAAAGGGGAUAGGACACAGUGCCAGCAUCCGCGGUUAAUCUGUUUUCUUUGCUUUUUUCUAGCAUUUAUAAACUAAUGUAUAUCUGAGGUUAGGUGAAAUUUUCUCAAUUUUAUAUUUUUUGAGUUUUUAUUUUUGAGUAGUUUUAAUGACAGGGAUUAGAUACCCCAUUAAUCAGCUAUUAUAAUAAUUGUUUAGUUUUAUAACUAAAAUAGUUUGGCAGCGAGUUAAUCCUAUUGGGGGAAUGUGUGUUUUAAAGGACGAUCCGCCUAUAUAUUUUACUUUAGCUAUGUUGGUGUAUAUCUGGUUAGAUAUUAUUGCUUAAUAGCUGAAUUUGUGUAAUAUUUAAUUAAGCCAAGUCUAUGUGCUGCAUGCUAAAGGAUUUCAUGCGUUACAUUUAUAAAAUAUAUUCUUGAAAAAGUUUUUAUAUUUAGGACUCAAAAGUAAUAGUAAAUAAAUAUGUUGCUGUGAAGAAGGUUUAACUUGGGUACACACCGCCCGUCACCCUCGAUAGUUGUUGAGGUAAGUCGUAACAUGGUAACCUUAAAUGAAUUUGUGGUUAAUUAUUAUUUUAG